UAUGGCGAAAAAAAUGUGUUUACACCAAAACACCUGAACGCACCACCAUGGAGGGAACCGUUUCAGGUCGGAAGAAGGCACGUGAGGGUUACUGGUCUGGACUCUGGCGAAAAAAAAUGUGUUUAUACCAAUGAAAAUGUUAGCAACUUAUCCAAAUGUAACAACCGGGAGAGUUAGCAAGUUUUCCAAGUGUGAGUCCUCUGUGGUGGAAGACCUCGAGUCCAAUGGGCAAUGAUAUGUGGUGGUUGUUGAACACUUUGCUACCAUGAAGUCUUCAAACAGGUGUCCUGGUGUGAAAAGGUGGACCUAAUGGACUGGAGCAAUGUGGAAAACGGCUGAUUGCCGGUUUACCUGCGGUGCAGCUGGCGGAGGGUUUUACAUGAUCGUGGUCUUGGCUUGCUGGACUGAGAGAGCCAGAGGGACCGGCCUUAUUCUCUUCCAGUGAAUCAAACAGCAAAUCAAAAGACAUUUCGUCAGUCUGAGAGGGUCCUCUGUUCCCUGCAUCGCUCUCCCUACCUGACACCAGCG